ensembl:misc_RNA Metazoa_SRP Metazoan signal recognition particle RNA
GCCAGGCAUAGUGGUAUGUACCUGUAGUCCCAGCUACUUAGGAGGCUGAGGUAGGAGGAUCACUUGUGCCCAGGAGUUUGAGGCUGUAGUGUGCCAUGACGGUGCCUAUAAAUAGCUACUGAGCUCCAGCCUGGGCAACAAAGCAAUAUCCUGACUCUA